rnacentral:rRNA from 2 species
UACGGGGGGGGGCAAGCGUUGUUCGGAAUUACUGGGCGUAAAGGGCGCGUAGGCGGCCUUCUAAGUCAGACGUGAAAUCCCUAGGCUCAACCUGGGAACUGCGUCUGAUACUGGAGGGCUUGAAUCCGGGAGAGGGAUGUGGAAUUCCAGGUGUAGCGGUGAAAUGCGUAGAUAUCUGGAGGAACACCGGUGGCGAAGGCGGCAUCCUGGACCGGUAUUGACGCUGAGGCGCGAAAGCCAGGGGAGCAAACGGG